rnacentral:rRNA from 1 species
UGGGGAAUUUUGGACAAUGGGGGCAACCCUGAUCCAGCAAUGCCGCGUGAGUGAAGAAGGCCUUCGGGUUGUAAAGCUCUUUUGUCAGGGAAGAAACGGUAGUAGCGAAUAACUACGACUAAUGACGGUACCGUAAGAAGAAGCACCGGCUAACUACGUGCCAGCAGCCGCGGUAAUACGUAGGGUGCGAGCGUUAAUCGGAAUUACUGGGCGUAAAGCGUGCGCAGGCGGUUUGGUAAGACAGAGGUGAAAUCCCCGGGCUUAACCUGGGAACUGCAUUUGUGACUGCCAGACUAGAGUGUAGCAGAGGGGGGUAGAAUUCCACGUGUAGCAGUGAAAUGCGUAGAUAUGUGGAGGAAUACCGAUGGCGAAGGCAGCCCCCUGGGCUAACACUGACGCUCAUGCACGAAAGCGUGGGGAGCAAACAGGAUUAGAUACCCCAGUAGUCCCUGAGCGGGCUGGCAAGGCGCAU